CACGCGGGGGGAAAGAGGGUGAUGGGGGGUGAGGGAUGGUGUUCUGGCGGCGGCGGCGUCCUCCUCCUCCUCUUCGUCGUCCGCGCUCUUCCUCUAGUGCGCUCGUCCGCUGGCUGGUACUCCCGGUUCACCUUCUUCUUCGCGUACUCCUCCGACUUCUCCUUCGCGGCUUUCUACUCCGUCGCUAGGUUCAUCCGACUACCGCCACCACUACCGCACGACAUCGAACGAUACACACAGAAACCGACGCCGACUGACGCCUACAUGAACGAACCGUACCGCCGCGGUAAGUAGAGUAGACAGUUGAGCAAAUAAGGUCUUUGGACGUGAAAUCAUCCGGACAAUAGCAACGAAAAUCAACAUGGUCCUCAAGACGAUAGUACUGGCUAGAUGGCUUGGCAUACUUGAGACAAAACCUCGAAAUAAACGACGAUUAUAAGCCGGUAGUUCAUAAAAUACGAAAACGACCGUAGUCGUAAUAACAGACCUACGAGAAUAUACAACUAAUGACGACGCACACCUC
rnacentral:rRNA from 1 species